rnacentral:rRNA from 1 species
UGGAUCCAGACUUUGAUUCUGGCUCAGGAUGAACGCUAGCGGCAGGCUUAACACAUGCAAGUCGAGGGGCAGCGAGGGUAGCAAUACCUGUCGGCGACCGGCGGAAGGGUGCGUAACGCGUGAGCAACUUUCCCGUAUCAGGGGGAUAACCGAUGGAAACGUCGACUAAUACCCCAUAACACAGAGGGCGGCAUCGUCUUUUGUUGAAAGCUACGGUGGAUACGGAUAGGCUCGCGUGACAUUAGCUAGUUGGAGUGGUAACGGCACACCAAGGCGACGAUGUCUAGGGGUUCUGAGAGGAAGGUCCCCCACACUGGAACUGAGACACGGUCCAGACUCCUAA